GACGAACGCUGGCGGCGUGCUUAACACAUGCAAGUCGAACGGAAAGGCCCUGCGCUUGUUGGGUGCUCGAGUGGCGAACGGGUGAGUAACACGCGAGUAACCUGCCCUUGACUUUGGGAUAACUUCAGGAAACUGGGGCUAAUACCGGAUAGGAGCUCCUGAUGCAUGGUGGGGGUUGGAAAGUUUCGGCGGUUGGGGAUGGUCUGGCGGCUUAUGAGCUUGUUGGUGGGGUAGUGGCUUACCAAGGGAUUGACGGGUAGCCGGCCUGAGAGGGGAACCGGGGACAAGGGUACUAAGAGAGGGACCAGUAGCGUACGGGAGGCAAUGGGGGAGAGUAUUGCACAGUGGGCGGGAGUCUGAUGCGGCGGUGCCGGGUGCGGGAUGACGGCUUUCUGGGUGUAAACCGCUUUCGCCGGUGACGAAGCGUGAGUGACGGUAAUGGGUAAAGAAGCACCGGCUAACUACGUG
rnacentral:rRNA from 1 species